rnacentral:rRNA from 1 species
CCUACGGGAGGCAGCAGUGGGGAAUUUUGGACAAUGGGCGCAAGCCUGAUCCAGCAAUGCCGCGUGAGUGAAGAAGGCCUUCGGGUUGUAAAGCUCUUUUGUCAGGGAAGAAACGGCUGAGGUUAAUACCUUUGGCUAAUGACGGUACCUGAAGAAUAAGCACCGGCUAACUACGUGCCAGCAGCCGCGGUAAUACGUAGGGUGCAAGCGUUAAUCGGAAUUACUGGGCGUAAAGCGUGCGCAGGCGGUUUUGUAAGUCUGACGUGAAAUCCCCGGGCUCAACCUGGGAAUUGCGUUGGAGACUGCAAGGCUGGAGUCUGGCAGAGGGGGGUAGAAUUCCACGUGUAGCAGUGAAAUGCGUAGAGAUGUGGAGGAACACUGAUGGCGAAGGCAGCCCCCUGGGUCAAGACUGACGCUCAUGCACGAAAGCGUGGGGAGCAAACAGGAUUAGAUACCCUGGUAGUCCACGCCCUAAACGAUGUCUACUAGUUGUCGGGUCUUAAUUGACUUGGUAACGCAGCUAACGCGUGAAGUAGACCGCCUGGGGAGUACGGUCGCAAGAUUAAAACUCAAAGGAUUGACGG